rnacentral:rRNA from 1 species
CCCUUAGAUGUUCUGGGCCGCACGCGCGCUACACUGAUGCAUUCAACGAGUUUCUUCCUGGUCCGAGAGGAAUGGGUAACCUUUUGAAAGUGCAUCGUGAUAGGGAUAGACUAUUGCAAUUAUUGGUCUUCAACGAGGAAUUCCUAGUAGACGUAGUUCAUCAGACUGCAUCGAUUACGUCCCUGCCCUUUGUACACACCGCCCGUCGCUCCUACCGAUUGAAUGCUCAGGUGAGCCAUACGGACUUUCAUCAUGCUGGUUUCCAGUUUUGAUGAAGGAAAGUCUUGCGAACCUUAUCAUUUAGAGGAAGGAGAAGUCGUAACA